rnacentral:lncRNA from 1 species
UGAGUGUGCGCGGGGUGCUCAGCAGCAGCAGUAGCAACCUCUUCGGCUUCAAGGCCGAAUGCGUCCGCCCUGCAGGGACAGCAGCGCUCGGGAUGGGUGCGCUACGGCAGCCUGCGGACGCCUGUGCCCAGCUAUGGCACAGGAGGUUUGGGCACCUCAGCAGCAGGAGCAUGCGGCAGCUGGUGAAGAUGGUGCAUGGAGUUGACUUGACGCCACAGC